rnacentral:lncRNA from 1 species
CGGCAAAGCCGACCUUAGCUCUGGAAUACACGUACGGAAGGAAAACCAAGGGGCAUAACACAGGGAGGGGGGGAGACUGAAGCAAACAAAACCAAGACAAGAAGACAAAAGACACCAACCCAUAACUUAACAACAAGAGGCACACAGGAAAACAUGGAGUCAUUCUGCAUUUGUCCACUCCGCUCUGGAGCAUGAGGCCUGCCGGGAGUGUGGCUGAUGUACCUACCCAGUGGCACUGCAUUGGCUCUAAGAACUCAUCUUCCCUCUCCCAGCAACUGCAAACAGUGUCUCAGUCAGGAACCUGGUGCCCCUUCCCUGCCCCGUGCUGGGGUUUUCUCUAGCUUGAACUUGUGCGGUCCUGGUACAUCCCAUCAUGGUCCCUGUGAGCUCAUGUGUUCAUCAGCCAGCCCUCUUGUGUCU